CCGAAUGGGGAAACCCAGUGUGACUCGUCACACUAUCAUUAACUGAAUCCAUAGGUUAAUGAGGCGAACCGGGGGAACUGAAACAUCUAAGUACCCCGAGGAAAAGAAAUCAACCGAGAUUCCCCCAGUAGCGGCGAGCGAACGGGGAGGAGCCCAGAGCCUGAAUCAGCAUGUGUGUUAGUGGAAGCGUCUGGAAAGGCGCGCGAUACAGGGUGACAGCCCCGUACACAAAAGCGCAUGUGCUGUGAGCUCGAUGAGUAGGGCGGGACACGUGGUAUCCUGUCUGAAUAUGGGGGGACCAUCCUCCAAGGCUAAAUACUCCUGACUGACCGAUAGUGAACCAGUACCGUGAGGGAAAGGCGAAAAGAACCCCGGCGAGGGGAGUGAAAAAGAACCUGAAACCGUGUACGUACAAGCAGUGGGAGCACCCUUUUGGGUGUGACUGCGUACCUUUUGUAUAAUGGGUCAGCGACUUAUAUUCUGUAGCAAGGUUAACCG
rnacentral:rRNA from 1 species